UUGUCGUCAGCUCGUGUCGUGAGAUGUGGGUUAAGUUCCGCAACGAGCGCAACCCCUAUUGUUAGUUGCCAUCAUUCAGUUGGGCACUCUAGCGAGACUGCCGGUAAUAAACCGGAGGAAGGUGGGGAUGACGUCAAAUCAUCAUGCCCCUUAUGACCUGGGCUACACACGUGCUACAAUGGUCGGUACAAUGGGUUGCCAAGCCGCGAGGCGGAGCUAAUCUCAUAAAGCCGGUCUCAGUACGGAUUGCAGGCUGAAACCCGCCUGCAUGAAGCUGGAGUUGCUAGUAACCGCAGGUCAGCCAUACUGCGGUGAAUAUGUUCCCGGGCCUU
rnacentral:rRNA from 1 species